GAUGAACGCUGGCGGCGUGCCUAAUACAUGCAAGUCGAGCGAACAGACGAUGAGCUUGCUCCUCUGACGUUAGCGGCGGACGGGUGAGUAACACGUGGAUAACCUACCUAUAAGACUGGGAUAACUUCGGGAAACCGGAGCUAAUACCAGAUAAUAUAUUGAACCGCAUGGUUCAAUAGUGAAAGACGGUGUUGCUGGCUCUUAUAGAUGGAUCCGCGCCGCAUUAGCUAGUUGGUAAGGUAACGGCUUACCAAGGCAACGAUGCGUAGCCGACCUGAGAGGGUGAUCGGCCACACUGGAACUGAGCCACGGACCAGACUCCUACGGGAGGCAGCAGUAGGGAAUCUUCCGCAAUGGGGGAAAGCCUGACGGAGCAACGCCGCGUGAGUGAUGAAGGUCUUCGGAUCGUAAAACUCUGUUAUUAGGGAAGAACAACUGUGUAAGUAACUAUGCACGUCUUGACGGUACCUAGUCAGAAAGCCACGGCUAACUACGUG
rnacentral:rRNA from 1 species